CAGGAAGUUUGGCCGCCCCCCAUCAACAUACCCACUCGCUUUCUUCUCCGCCCGCGGGUGUUUCUCAGGAGGAGGCGCUGACUCUUGGGCCGCUGCUUGAGAGCGAUCCUUCGCUCCCCGCUACAUACACACGCAUACACAGCCCGAGACACACACAGGGUUCCCUCCCGGCCGAGGAACCGCAGCGCCCCGUCCCCUCCUGUCUGCCCUUCAGGGUUCUCAGGUCCGCGAAAUCUGAAACCAGGUCAGUGCAGUCUAGCCGUGACGUCACUGCCUUCCCGCUGAGCGGAGCUGUUCAGCAGGGGCCGCGGCGGCUGGGAUGGGUGAGACGGCGCGGGGUGGAGGGUAGCUUUCUCCGGAGCUGAGGACCUGUGACAGCUCCCGAAACACCAAAAGCCCAUGAAGAGCACCUGAAAUGUUCAUGGCCCAAAGAGGGACCUGGAAAUCAAGCCUUGCAUUGCCCCUAGGACUGGGUGUGAAUUUAGGCACACGUACAGCGUUAGAAACAUUUAAGAAUUCUCCAGAGAUCUUGGAUGCACUGACUGAGGGCUCAGAUAACUAAGUUCCAAGCUGGAUAAUAGUUCUUGUUGAAACUUUCGAGUUUGACUGCAUGAAACUUAAGAUCUGCAGUGGUGGCACACGCCUGUAACUCCAGCAAUCCCAGUACUCCAGGAGUUCCCGGUGAACGAGGGCUACAUAGUUGAGACCUUGUCCAAAAAAACAAAAAACAACAACAACAACAAAACAUGAUGCGGUGUGGAAGAGUAGGGGACUAAAGAUAGUGCCUGUGAGAUAUAAUGUUCUCUGAAGGCGCUCAUUUUCAAGUUAGAGAUAAGCCAGGAGUCUGGAUGAGCUAGGGAGUCAUAGUUUUGGUACAAAAUGUUCCGGGAGAAAACAUUUCCUCGAUACAGUUUGUCCUGCGCACUGAGAAGCAUGACUGUGAUCCCAUUUGAGGAUGGCCAUGACAAGGACAACUGGCCUACACAGUAUCUGGGACAAAAAUCUUGGGGUGGCAAGGAGAUGUUUACUAGGAGCUAAAAUCCUAAAAUUUAAGAAAGGAUUAAAAAACAAAGAUUUACCAGUUACCACUAUAUGAAGAGAUGAAGAACUGUUCAGAAAGAAAAACUGGGGUCCAGAGAAAGUAUGUAAAACAAGGUUAGAACGCUGCAAAAUUUGAUUUAGUGGCUGCUAAUUUGUUUUGCCUCUAAAAUAUAUUGACUGUAAAAAAAAAAAGUGGUCAUAAGUCAUACUCAGAAAACAUCUCCAGUUUUAUUUUUCUAAAGGUUGAGAAAAUUAAGAAAACAAAUGUGAUACAUCAGUAUAUCUGGAAUAGUCAUGUCUAUAACCAUUGGUUAAUUUACUUAAUCCUAUAGCUUUCUGGAGCUUGAUUACUUGGGGCUUGUUGUGGGAAGGUACCAUUGGGGAUUGACCUCAGAGCCCCUAGAGUACUGAUCAGUGUUCUGCCCUGACCACUCCGACUCACUUUCAUCAGUGAAACUCUUAGUGAUGUUUAUAUCUAUUAGUUCUCCAAAGUAUAAGCCCAGAAUGGGGAUACAGGCCUUUAACACUGGCACUCGGAGGCAGACAGCCAAGUGGAUAUCUUUGAGUUCCAGGCCAGCCUGGAUUACAUAGCAAGCUACCUAACAGACUCUUGUCUUUAAAAAAAAAUUCCUAAAAUAAACACAAGCUUUUAUCAGCACGUAGUAAGUUGUUAGGCUUGCUACUCAAUUAGUUGUUUGGCAGAACACAAACAUCAUCCCUGGAUGUAAACCUUGUCUCUGGAGACUCCCAACCACUCAUUUAUCUUCUCAGACCACUCCCAGCCCAAAACGUCCUACCCCAAACUGUUCCACAAUCUGUAAAUACUCCCAAUGCUGCCCGAAAUCCUAUGUACUUAUGCCAUUAAGUACAGACAGGCUGGAGAGGUGGCCAACACUAAGAGCAUCUCCUGCUCUACCAGAGGAUCUGCAUUCUAGAACCCAGCACUCACAUGGUGGCUUCAGACUCUCUCCAGUUCCAGGGGAUCCAAUGCCCCAAUACCCUCUCCAGCCACUCUCCACUGUAGGCACCAGACAUGCAUGUGGUGUACAGACAAACAUUCGGGUAAAGACUUUUAAAGUCUCUCAUCAAAAAUAUGGAAAGGCUUUCUCAAUUCUAAUACUCAGUUUAAGAAUGGUAAAAAUGUUACCAGUUCAACAAAUGUUAACUGCUUCUCACCUUAGAAUUCGUAGACUGUUUAUUCAGUUCUAAAAGUAAUUUAAAGAUAUAUAUAUAUAUAUAUAUGAUCCACUAAUAGUUGGGGUUAAAAACCACCCAGGUUUUUUAAAUAUUUGAUACAAAUAUAUGUAAUAUUAAUUUUCACAAACAAAAUUAGCCACAUAUUAGUGAGUGACAGCUGCCUGGCAUCCCAGCAGGCUCAGCAGUGGGAGACCUGAGGAGUCAGUCCAGCCUGAGCUAAACUAACAGACCCAUCUCCAAAACAAUAUUAUUAGUUAUUAUAAGAAAAAUAAUCAGGCAUAGUGGUACAUGCCUACAAUUCCAGGACUUAGGAGACAGAGCCCCAGGAUCACAAGUUGGAGGCCAGUGUGGAUGUCAUAUAGAGAUCUUGCCUCAAAAACAAAGUAAAAAAGACAGAAAAACAAGUAAUACUAACUUCAAUCUAGUGUGGCAUUGGUUCUCAACCUUCCUAAUACACCCACCCUUUAAUACAGUCUCUCAUGUUGUGGUGACCCCCAACCAUAAAAUUAUUCGGUUAUUACCUUAUAACUGUAAUUUUGCUGUUAUGAAUAAUAAUGUAAAUAUCUGUUAUGCGAGAUAUCUGAUAUGUAACUCCUCCGGAGGGGCCGUAACCCACAGCUUGAGAACUCCUGUAUUAUGGCAGGCAAUCACAUGUUAAAUGUAGAGUGAAUAUGAUAUGGAAGAUAAAGUGGUUAUACAACAAAGAAAAUAUUAUCACACUAGAAUCAAGAACUAUCUGUACAGAAAGAUUAUUUUUAAAUGCAUGUUAAGAAUCUUUGUGGGAAGUGAAAAAUGGAGGGCUUCCUUGAUGAAGACACACCAAGACUACAGAGAAGAAUCUUCUGAAAUGCAGACGAUCUGUUUCCCUACGUUGCCCCCUGUCAUCAUGGACUGGAAUGCAACUGAAAGAAAAACAAAACUUGUUGUCUGAAAAGAGAAAUGUUACUAUAUGUCUGUUAGAAGUCUAACAUAUAAAAUUAGUUUG
rnacentral:lncRNA from 1 species